UUGGAGGGCAAGUCUGGUGCCAGCAGCCGCGGUAAUUCCAGCUCCAAUAGCGUAUAUUAAAGUUGUUGCAGUUAAAAAGCUCGUAGUUGAAUUUCGGGAUCAAUUUAUUGGUCGUGCCAACGGUACGCACUGGUACAAUUGGUUUCUCCCUUCUGACGAAGCAUGAUGUCAUUAAUUUGAUGUCGUGGGGAAUCAGGACUGUUACUUUGAAAAAAUUAGAGUGUUUAAAGCAGGCUUUGGCUUGAAUACAUUAGUAUGGAAUAAUGAAAUAGGACGUUUGAUCUUAUUUCGUUGGUUUCUAAGGUCGACGUAAUGAUUAAUAGGGAUAGUUGGGGGCAUUAGUAUUCAAUUGUCAGAGGUGAAAUUCUUGGAUUUAUUGAAGACUAACUACUGCGAAAGCAUUUGCCAAGGAUGUUUUCAUUAAUCAAGAACGAAAGUUAGGGGAUCGAAGACGACCAGAUACCGUCGUAGUCUUAACCAUAAACUAUGCCGACUAGGGAUCGGAUGAUAACUUUUUAAUGAAUCAUUCGGCGCCUUACGGGAAAC
rnacentral:rRNA from 1 species